CACUAGUGGGGCAUAGUGGUUUGAGUGCUGGACUAUGACUCUGGAGACCAGUGUUCGAAUCCCUGCUCAGUGA